rnacentral:rRNA from 1 species
UACAGAGGGGGCAAGCGUUGUUCGGAAUUACUGGGCGUAAAGGGCGCGUAGGCGGCCUGUUAAGUCGAACGUGAAAUCCCCGGGCUCAACCCGGGAACUGCGUCCGAUACUGGCAGGCUUGAAUCCGGGAGAGGGAUGCGGAAUUCCAGGUGUAGCGGUGGAAUGCGCAGAUAUCAGGAAGAACACCAACGGCGAAGGCAGCUCGCUGGGACGGUACUGACGCUGGAGACGCGAAAGCGUGGGAGCGAACAGG